rnacentral:rRNA from 1 species
AUACGGAGGGUGCAAGCGUUAUCCGGAUUCAUUGGGUUUAAAGGGUGCGCAGGCGGAUAUUUAAGUCAGUGGUGAAAUCCCGGGGCUCAACCUCGGAACUGCCAUUGAUACUGAAUAUCUGGAAUACGGUUGAAGUGGGCGGAAUGUAGCAUGUAGCGGUGAAAUGCAUAGAGAUGCUACAGAACACCGAUCGCGUAGGCAGCUCACUAAGCCGAUAUUGACGCUCAGGCACGAAAGCGUGGGGAGCAAACGGGAUUAGAUACCCCAGUAGUCC